GCGGAAUGCUUUACACAUGCAAGUCGAGCGGCAGCGCGGGGCAACCUGGCGGCGAGCGGCGAACGGGUGAGUAAUGCAUCGGAACAUGUCCAUGUCGUGGGGGAUAGCCCGGCGAAAGCCGGAUUAAUACCGCAUAAGCCCGAGAGGGGAAAGUGGGGGACCGCAAGGCCUCACGCGAUUGGGUUGGCCGAUGUCCGAUUAGCUAGUUGGCGGGGUAAGAGCCCACCAAGGCGAUGAUCGGUAGCUGGUCUGAGAGGAUGAUCAGCCACACUGGGACUGAGACACGGCCCAGACUCCUACGGGAGGCAGCAGUGGGGAAUUUUGGACAAUGGGGGCAACCCUGAUCCAGCCAUUCCGCGUGAGUGAAGAAGGCCUUCGGGUUGUAAAGCUCUUUUGUCCGGAACGAAACGGUUACGGUGAAUACCCGUGACUACUGACGGUACCGGAAGAAUAAGCACCGGCUAACUACGUGCCAGCAGCCGCGGUAAUACGUAGGGUGCGAGCGUUAAUCGGAAUUACUGGGCGUAAAGCGUGCGCAGGCGGUUUUGUAAGCCAGAUGUGAAAUCCCCGGGCUUAACCUGGGAAUGGCAUUUGGGACUGCAAGGCUAGAGUGCGGCAGAGGAGACUGGAAUUCCUGGUGUAGCAGUGAAAUGCGUAGAUAUCAGGAGGAAUACCGAUGGCGAAGGCAGGUCUCUGGGCUGACACUGACGCUCAUGCACGAAAGCGUGGGGAGCAAACAGGAUUAGAUACCCUGGUAGUCCACGCCCUAAACGAUGUCGACUGGUUGUUGGGGGUUUGACACUCUCAGUAACGAAGCUAACGCGUGAAGUCGACCGCCUGGGGAGUACGG
rnacentral:rRNA from 1 species